AAGAAGACAGGAGAAGGUACUAUCUAGAAGAUAUGCCUACUAUGUGGACAGAUCUUGGCAUAGGGGAUGCAGAGUGCAAAAAAGAAAGCCAGCUGCUGAUGAUAGGAAAUGACUAAGUAGGAAGAAUAAAGUAGAAUUUCCAGAAAAAUAGAUUUUACAGGACUUAGUAAGAGGUUGGAUGUGAAAAGUGUGCUUGUUUUUUUUUUUUUUUUUUUUUUUUUUUUUUUUUUUUUUUUUUUUUUUUUUUUUUGCUUGAAACCUGGAUGGGACAUCCAGGCUGGAGAAGUUGGGUAAAUUAAGGGAAUCUGAAAAGUUAUU
rnacentral:lncRNA from 10 species